UUAUUUAUUUAUUUUUUUUGUUUCUCAAUUCUUUAAUGUGUUGAUCGUAACAAGAUUCCAGUAUUUAGUUAUUUACAGCGGCUAAAUCAGAAACUGCUAGAACAGAAUUAUGAGUUGGGAUGUCUUCGAACCAAACACGUAAUGGUUUAGCAGUCGACCUGAAGAGUAUGGGCUGAAAUAUUGGCGGUACGCGGAGAGUGUUGGAAUUUGACGGACUGCCGAUGGGAUGCAACAUGUAGGACAUCAGCUACGCGCAGAUCAUGGGAUCGAGGCACCAGGACACUACCAUUCACCGCUGCCUCAGUCCCCUGAUUAUCGCCCUCAAACUUCAAGGGCUAUCUCCACGCCAAAUCUGACAGCAUGAAUUUCUGCAAGACUAGCAUCACAAUUAGCAUAGACGCGUUUGGCAGCAGCCGUUAACGGAUGACCUUGACAAUCCCGAAUUGCUAUGCUGAGACCCGCAAGGAUAUCAUUCCUGACUAUGAACAAAUAACAAUUAUAUUUUGAGAAUAUUUAACGAAG
rnacentral:misc_RNA from 1 species